rnacentral:rRNA from 1 species
GAUGAACGCUGGCGGCGUGCUUAACACAUGCAAGUCGAACGGAAAGGCCCAAGUUUGGUUGGGUACUCGAGUGGCGAACGGGUGAGUAACACGUGUGUGAUCUGCCCUGCACUUCGGGAUAAGCCUGGGAAACUGGGUCUAAUACCGGAUAGGACCACUUCCUGGAUGUUGUGGUGGAAAGUUUUUUCGGUGUGGGAUGAGCUCGCGGCCUAUCAGCUUGUUGGUGGGGUAAUGGCGUACCAAGGCGUUGACGGGUAGCCGGCCUGGGAGGGUGUACGGCCACAUUGGGACUGAGAUACGGCCCAGACUCCUACGGGAGGCAGCAGUGGGGAAUAUUGCACAAUGGGCGGAAGCCUGAUGCAGCGACGCCGCGUGGGGGAUGACGGCCUUCGGGUUGUAAACCCCUUUCGCUAGGGACGAAGCGUUGUGUGACGGUACCGGGUAAAGAAGCACCGGCUAACUACGUG